GCAAGUCGAACGAGAAAGUUUUCUUCGGAAAACGAGUAAAGUGGCGCACGGGUGAGUAACGCGUAGAUAACCUGUCCAAGCGACUGGGAUAGCCCUUCGAAAGGGGGAUUAAUACCGGAUACGUUGAUUGUUUUUAAGGAUGAUCAAGAAAGGUGGCCUCUAUUUAUAAGCUAUCACGCAUGGAGGGGUCUGCGUACCAUUAGUUUGUUGGUGGGGUAAUGGCCUACCAAGACUACGAUGGUUAACGGGUCUGAGAGGAUGAUA
rnacentral:rRNA from 1 species